CCCUUAGAUGUUCUGGGCUGCACACGUGCUACACUGGCAGGUUCAGCGAGCUUCAUGCCCUGAUCUGAAAGGAAUGGGAAAUCUUUUCAAAACCUGCCGUGCUUGGGAUAGAUGUUUGCAAUUAUUCAUCUUCAACGAGGAUUGCCUUGUAAGCGCACGUAAUCAGCGUGCAUUGAAUACGACCCUGUAUUCUGUACACACCGCCCGUCGCUCCUACCGAUUGAAGUUUUCGGUGAGUUGACAGGAGGAUUUUUUUGAAACUGGUUCGCCAGUGGAUUUUAGAUCCAAAUGCCAACGAAUCGAUGGCUUUAGAGGAAGGAGAAGUCGUAACA
rnacentral:rRNA from 1 species